rnacentral:lncRNA from 1 species
GGGCCACACCUGCAGCAUAUGGAAGUUCUCAGGCUAAGGGUCAAAUUGGAGCAGCUGCAGGCCUAUGCCACAGCAAGAGGGGAUCUGAGCAGCAUCUGCAACCUACGCCACAACUCAUGGCAAUGCCAGGUCCUUAACCCACUGAGUGAGGCCAGGAAUCGAACAUGCAUCCUUGUGGAUCCUAGUUGGGUUUGUUAACUGCUGAGCCACGAAGGGAAAUCCCUACAUUUAUGUAAUUUUUAAGAUGGAGCUUUUGUUGUUUUUAUUAGUAGGCAUGGGUAACUAGCCAUAGUUUCCCAACUAUUACCACUAAUAAUUAGUAACUAUAUAGAGAAAGCUUUAAUAUAAAAUUAUAAUCAAGUCAGAGUUCUAAAAUAUGAAACUCAUAGAUAAAAAGUACUUUAUUCUUCUUUUCCGUUCUCAUAAUACUACAUAGCCUGAAGUAAAAGACAUAUUUGCUAUGUAUUUGCAACUGUUAAUAGACAGAUCUGAAUAACAUUAUUGAUCACUUUGAUCUAACUGAUUUUAAUAGAAUACUAUAUCUUGCAACAGCAGAAUUUAUAUUCUUUUCAAGUGUAUGUGGUGUGUUCUCUAAGAUAGACCAAAUGCUGGGAUACAAAAAAAUCUCAAUUUAAAACGACUAAAAUCAUACAGAAUAUGUGCUUUGACAACAAUUUAUCUGAAUUAGAAAUCAAUAAGAUAUCUAGACAAACUUUCUAAUUUGGAAAUUAAACAAUGGAUUUUUCAAUAGUCUAUGGGUCAAAGAAAAAAUCAUAAGCAAAAUUAGAAACUAUUUUGAAAUAGAAUGAUAGUGAAAAUAUAUCAAAGUUUGUAAAUCCAACUACAGCCAUGCUAAGAGGAAAAUUUAUAGAUUUAAGUGCUUAUUUUAGAAAAGAUGAAAGGUCACAAUUUAAAGUUUAAAUUAAAUUUAAAGUUUAAAAGUUUAAAGCUUAAAAAACUAACAAAAGAAGAGCAAAGUAAACCCCAAAGUAGUAGAAAGAAGUAAUGAAGAGAAGAAAAACAUGAAAUAAAGCAAACAACAGGGAAAAUUAUCCAAGCCAAAAAGUAAGUUCUUUGAAAAGAUCAAAGAAAUUGAGAGUUCAAGUUAGAAAGAACAUAAAUUUCCAAUAUAAGAAAUAAAAAAGAAGUUAUCCCCACAGAUCCCAUAUACACUAAAAAUAUAUAAUAAGUAAAAUAUAAUGAGUAACUUUAUACAAAUUUGACAUCUUAGAUGAAUGGACAAAUUCUUUGAAAAAAAUACCACUAACAAACAGAGACACAAAAUGAAACAGAAAAUCUGAAGAGACCUAUAUAUAUUAAAGAAAUUAUGUCUGUUAUCAAAGUCUUCUCAGAAAAAUGAUCCAGAUGAUUGGACUGGUGCAUCUUAUCAUAUAUGUAAGGGAAGAAAAUCUUAUAUAAACCUUACAUAAAUCUUAUUAGUUCAUAGCAGAGAAUGUAACUUUUCCCACCUGGUUUAUGAGGUCAGUAAGCCCAGAAUAUCAAAACCUGAGAAAAAUAUAAUAAAAUAUAGAGAACGAGAGAGAGGGAGGGGGAGAGAAAAGAAGAAGUGGAGAAAAGAAGGGAAAAAUUACAGGCCAAUAUACUUCAAGGACAUAGGACAUAGAUGUAAAAUAUCCACAAAAUAUUAGUAAAUCAAACUCAGGUAUACAUAUAAAAUGGAUAAUAUAUUACAACCGAAUAAAAAUGUGAUGCAGGAGUUCCCAUCGUGGCGCAGUGGAAACGAACCCGACUGGGAACCAUGAGGUUGCAGGUUUGAUCCCUAGCCUUGCUCAGUAGGUUAAGGAUCUGGUGUUGCCAUGAGCUGUGGUGUAGGUUGCAGACGCAGCUCGCAACCCACGUUGCUGUGGCUGUGGUAUAGGCUGGCGGGUACAGCUCCGAUUAGACUCCUAGCCUGGGAACCUCCAUGUGCCUCGGGAGCAGCCCUAGAAAAGGCGAAGACAAAAAACAAAAGAAAAAAGAAAAAAAGAAAAUGUGAUGUAUACAUACACCGGAAUAUUAUUCAGCCUUUUAAAAAAGUAGGAAACCCUGUCAUUUGAGACAACAUGAAUUAAUCAGGAGAGCAUUACAACAAGCAAAAUAUUUUAGGAAGAUAGAAGACACAUAUCUCAUAUUAUCAUUUAUAUGCGGAAUCUAAAAAAAAAAAGUCAAACUCAAAGAAAUAAAGAAUAGAAAGAGUGGUUGCCAGGUGCCAGGAGAAAAGAUGAGAGGUUGGUGAAAGGCUAUAUAUACUUUGAAUGAUGAGUAAGGUAUCAGGAUCUAAGUGUAGCAUGGUGACUAUAGUUGGUAACACUGCAUUGUACAAAUGAAACUUAGAAAAUAAAUCUUAAGUAUUCUCAUUUAAAAAAAAAAGUAAAUACAUGAGGUGAUGGAUAUGUUGUUUCAUUUGUUAGAAUCACAAAUUAUUCAUACAUCAAAUCAUCACACUGUUCACUUUACGUUAUUGUUUGACAAUUAUACCUCAGUAAAACAAAACAAAAAAAAAUGUAGUCCAUUCUCAUUUUAGAAAGGUAGAUAUGCAGGGCAGGGAAGAUGUUAGGAGAUUGAAACUGCAAACUCUUGGUAAACUGGAAGUCUCAUUGUUCAAUAAAUGAAGGGGUGAGGAUCUCAAUAAUAAAAGAAUUUUCACCAGUACCAUCCACCCCCUUCCCUCAUUAAAAUAAAAAAAAAAUAGAGAAAGUAGGAGACAAUUUUUAUAACACUGGCCAUCUCCAGAAUGCUUAAAUUCUUAAUCAUGUGCGAUUCCACUGCCCCCUGCUGGACAUGAUCACUGUGACCUCAAAACUAAACAUUCUAGAGGUAAACAAUUGUAAUAAUUUUCAUCAUUCUAGCAUUGGCAAAACUGUGCUAAGUGCUUUACGUGCAUCAUCUCCUUCAACCCUUCUAACAAUUCUAUGGCUAGAAAAUGCUAUUCUCACUUUGUAGGUGAGGAACCUGGAGCUUCAGAGUUAAGGUCACACAACUAAAGGGACCUCAGAAUUAAAUACUGCCUCUAAAGCCAGCUCCUAGCUACUUCCUGCUCCCUAAAUAUAUGAACUUUCAUGCUAACAUACUAGAGAUACACCUGGAACAGUACUGAGAUAUAUUAUCAUCUGAGGCUUGUUGAUUCACUGUAAACAAUGGAAUCACAAAAAUGACUUUUAUGUUAAAAAGUCCCAAAUAAGUAUCUUCCUCUAGUUUUUCCCUCUUGAGAAGCUGUAGAAUUUAUCGAACAAGAAAAGGUUACUUCUCAACUAAGAGGAAGACAGGGUUUCUCAGGGUCUCUCAAAGCAUGAUCCAUGAAUCAGUCUCCUGCAUUAAAAUCAUGUGAG